UACGGAGGGUGCAAGCGUUGUCCGGAUUUAUUGGGUUUAAAGGGUGCGUAGGCGGUCUUUUAAGUCAGUGGUGAAAUCCUCCAGCUCAACUGGAGAACUGCCAUUGAUACUGGAAGACUUUGAGUAUAGUUGAGGUAGGCGGGAAAUUGACAGUGUAGCGGUGAAAAUGCAUAGAUAUUGUCAAGAACACCGAUUUGCGAA
rnacentral:rRNA from 1 species